GGUUGGCAACUGGUGAUCUGGACACAUGUCAGAUUUCAGGGUAAGUUUCACAGAGCUUUAUUGCCUCCCUCUGGACCCCUGUCAGAGAACAACAAGACGUGAGGCUUAGCUUAAUAAGCACGCUGGCGUUAGUCAGCUGCUCUGCCAGUGCACGUCGUGAGUGCUCUAUCUUUCUCAUCUUAGAGCUUUUUACUCCAUCCGCUUGGUGGGAGAGGGACUCUGCAUCAUCGGCAGCAUUUUACAGCUUUGGACUAUUUCAUGGAGUUAUGAAAAUAGAGAGGAAAACAAAAUAAAACAGAAGUGAAUUCAUUCUACUCCUUGCCAAGUGAUCUGGUAGUUUUAGAAUGUGUGUUGAACUCUGAAAAGAACAGAAUUGCAGCCUCUACCUAUUCCGAAGAUCAUCUAAUAGAACGCUACCCGGCUUCUCACCCCUCUUUAUAAAAUGAUGACAUACUUCACCCUCUGUUAGAAAGCUCCCCUGGUGUAAAUCAUUAAACUCACUAUAAUUCUACCCAGUUUACAAAUUUUAACUGGCGUCACCAGUGAAUUUACUCUCUCUCCUAAACGCUCCUCCUCAUCUCCUUUUGCAGAGUAUUUGGCAUUUUAGGGACCUAACAGAAAGUCAGUAGAUUAUUAUUCACUUAAUAUUAGCUCAAUGCAAAGAGAGUGUGGUGCUUUGGUUAUUUUCCUGGCUUUGUCAGCUGAAAGGCUCCAGAUGACAUCCCUGCAGCAAUGAACAGAACCCAUGGCUAGAUCUUGGUUUCUAAAUACCUUUCUCUACCCAAAUGAGCACAUGGCUGUAUUUAUGACUUUGACAAGUGCUGUCCACUCCUGAGUGUGUGGGAGAGGCACUGUGAUCAAGCGGACAGAAGGUCCUGGGCAUGGAGUUAGCGGUCUGGUUUCAUGACUCACCAGCCCAGUGAACAUGAGCAAGUCAGAUUAUUUAUGAGGGGUGGUCAGUAUUUUUUAUUGUGAAAUAAGAGGCUUGGACUUGCUUCUUGCAAUCCCUUCUCUACUCCGUAGCCAGAGCAAUCUUUUUGAAAGGUGAAUUUGAUCAUAUCGCUUCCACCUAUUGACCGGCUCCGCAUUGCUCCCAGGAGAAAGCCCACCCUCUGUAACAUGAUAUAAAAUGGUCCCUGCUCAUCAUUUUUGAGCAGCAUUCUGCUCUUGAUCCGCUCCCACCAUAUAUUCCUUAGGCUGUGUGAUGCAAACUUAUGGGCUAACCCGAGGCUCCUUUUUGUGUUGCGCUUUCUCACCUCCGCAUCUUUGCUCAUGCUAUUCCUUAGAAAGGGUAGUUUUUCCUCCUCCUCUUCCUUUCGCCUAUCUACCUCUCUCUUACCUGUCAUUUCCUCCAGAAUGCUUUCCUCAAGCCCACAGACUAAAUUAAAUGCUUCCUCUGUGUGUCUCUUUAGCCUGUGCACUGUGUUGUAAUUUCCUGUACUUCCUGGUCUGUCCCACUAGUCUCUGAGCAGUUGGAAACUCUCCCUUAGUCAGUGCCAUAUCCCUAGGGCCUAACACAAGCCUAGCACUGGUAAUGGACUCAAAUAUUUGUUAAAUGAAUUAAAGAUCAUUCUCUCUUUUUUGAACCUCAGCUUCCUCAUCCUUUAUGUGAAAAUAAUAUGUAUCUCAUCAUAGGCGAUGAGGAUUGCCUAAGGCAGGACUUGAAAAAACACUUUGCUAAUAGGAGUCAUUGUACCUGUGUAAGAUGGGAUGGAAGACUUGUCUUCUUUCUGGUACGCGCACAAUUUCCUCUAAACCACCGUUGGCAAACUGUGAUCCAUAGGUCAGCUCCAAUCCACAUCCUGUUUCUGUAUUACCCACGAGUUAAGAAUGGUUUUUAAAUUUUUAAGUGAUUACAUAAAAUCAAAAGAAGAAUGUGUCAUGACGUGGGGAAAUUGUAUGAAAUGCAAAUUUCAAGGUCCAUGAAUAGGUUUCUUGAGACAAAGCCAUGCUCAUCUGCUAUGUGCCAUGGCUGUGUUUGCGUUGCAACGGCAGAGCUGAGUAGCUAUGGCGGAGAUCUUAUGGCCCACAAAGCCUAAGAUAUUUACCCUCUGGCCUUUAAUAGAUCGCAUUUGCCAACUCCUACCUUAAACCCCAAACUUCUUCUCUCUCCUCACUCCCAACCUCUGCUUUGAGCUUGGGUUCCAAUUUGAUGUCUUAGCCUUGGAGACAUUUGAUAUUUCCUCAAGAAUCUAGAGAGAAAGAGUUAUUUCUUAUUUAUCCUGAAAAAAAUGUUUGAGUAUCUAAGCAGAACACAGCUGGGUGUUUCCCCAGAGAUAUUUCAUAUUUGGGCAUGUAUAAUGUGGUAAAUUUAGGAAGAAAAUUACUGAGUUCCCCUGCAAACGAUCUCAUUACUCAGGUUACUUGUUAAAGGAAGGGCUCCUUCUGUUUUUUUUUCUGAUUAAUAUCUGAGUUUGAAAUUUGUUGACAUGCGUAUUUUUUUCUUGGCAUGGGGCUUCCCUUUUGUUUCAUCUUUUAAGAGAAAUUCAUGGACAGAAACUAUAAGCUAAAGCAGUUCCCACUUUAAGAAUGAGGGGCUGGGGGCAUUACAAUUAGAGUAGAUUCGGUGACAUGGUUGGAAGCGAUGGGAGAGAGAAAGGAGAGAAAGAGACAGAAAGAAGGAAAGGAGAGAGAGAGGUGAGAGAGAGAGAGAGAAAGGAGAGGUGGAGAACGCAGCUAAGAAGAGCAAUGGUUAUCUAAUGAGAAGGCAGGCAAGCUAGAAAUCCUAUUUAGGAAGCUGGGAGCCCAGGGAGAUUAAAGGACAGUACCUCAGGAGUCAGCCUGGCUCUGUGAGGGAGAGGCCCAAGGACAUUUUUGUGGUACUUAGAUGGUUUCCUGCAGAAUCUCUGUAACUGGCAUCUGAGUCUCUCCUGUUCUGUC